rnacentral:tRNA from 1 species
GCCGGUGUGGCGGAAUUGGCAGACGCGCUGGACUCAAAAUCCAGUUCCUUUCAUUGGGAGUGUGGGUUCGACUCCCACCACCGGCA